rnacentral:sRNA from 1 species
GCAGUCGCAAAAAACGACCGCCGAGCCUGGAAACUCGAACUAUCUAUCACUGGCGCAUAGCACGCCUCAAGCGUGUUUUUU